rfam:Actinomycetales bacterium JB111 genome assembly, contig: Scaffold66
GUGUAAGUUGAUAAGAGCAUUCGGUGGAUGCCUUGGCACUAGGAGCCGAUGAAGGACGUUGUAGCCUGCGAUAAGCCGCGAGGAGCUGGCAAACGAGCUGUGAUCCGUGGAUGUCCGAAUGGGGAAACCCGGCCGUCGUCAUGGGCGGUCACGCACGUCUGAAUGUAUAGGGCGUGUGAGGGAACGCGGGGAAGUGAAACAUCUCAGUACCCGCAGGAAGAGAUAUUCCGUGAGUAGUGGCGAGCGAAAGCGGAUCAGGCUAAACCGUGCGUGCGUGAUAGCCGGCAGGCGUUGUGCGUGCGGGGUUGUGGGGCAUGAUCGAUCCCUUACUGCCGUGAGGGGCGCUGUGCAGUGUUGUGGGAGCCGAAAGGUCUGGGAAGGCCUGGCGUAGAGGGUGAGACCCCUGUAGGCGGACCGCAACGUGUGUGGUGUGAUUGUGUUCCCGAGUAGCACCGGGCCCGUGAAAUCCGGUGUGAAUCUGGCAAGACCACUUGCUAAGCCUAAAUACUACCUAGUGACCGAUAGCGGACUAGUACCGUGAGGGAAAGGUGAAAAGUACCCCGGGAGGGGAGUGAAAUAGUACCUGAAACCGGAUGCUUACAACCCGUCGGAGCCUCCUUAGCUGGGGUGACGGCGUGCCUUUUGAAGAAUGAGCCUGCGAGUUAGUGGCGCGUGGCGAGGUUAACCCGUGUGGGGAAGCCGUAGCGAAAGCGAGUCCGAAUAGGGCGAUCCAGUCGCGCGUUCUAGACCCGAAGCGGAGUGAUCUACCCAUGGGCAGGUUGAAGCACGUGUAAGAGCGUGUGGAGGACCGAACCCACUUAGGUUGAAAACUGAGGGGAUGACCUGUGGGUAGGGGUGAAAGGCCAAUCAAACUCCGUGAUAGCUGGUUCUCCCCGAAAUGCAUUUAGGUGCAGCGUCGCGUGCUUCUUCCCGGAGGUAGAGCUACUGGAUGGCUAAUGGGCCCUACAAGGUUACUGACGUCAGCCAAACUCCGAAUGCCGGUGAAGUGUGAGCGCGGCAGUGAGACUGCGGGGGAUAAGCUUCGUAGUCGAGAGGGAAACAGCCCAGAUCAUCGGCUAAGGCCCCUAAGCGUGUGCUAAGUGGGAAAGGAUGUGGAGUUGCAGUGACAACCAGGAGGUUGGCUUAGAAGCAGCCACCCUUGAAAGAGUGCGUAAUAGCUCACUGGUCAAGUGAUUCCGCGCCGACAAUGUAGCGGGGCUCAAGCACACCGCCGAAGCCGUGGCACGAUGACAUGUCUCUAGCCGGCCCCUUGCGGGCUUGGUUCAGGGGUCGUCGUGGGUAGGGGAGCGUCGCGUGGGAGGAGAAGCUGCGGGGUGACCCAGUGGUGGAUCCCACGCGAGUGAGAAUGCAGGCAUGAGUAGCGAAAGACGGGUGAGAAACCCGUCCGCCGAAUGACCAAGGGUUCCAGGGCCAGGUUAAUCCGCCCUGGGUUAGUCGGGACCUAAGGCGAGGCCGACAGGCGUAGUCGAUGGACAACGGGUUGAUACUCCCGUGACCGGCGAAGGACCGACCAUACCGAACCUUGUGAUGCUAACCGCCCAAACCAGCGCCACGGUCCUUCGGGACCAGGAGCUGGGGCGCGCGGGACCCGAACUGGUAGUAGGUAAGCGUAUUAACAGGGGUGACGCAGAUUGGUAGCCACGCGAUCCUAAUGGCUUGGAUCGUUUAAGGGUGCAGGGCGAGGUACAGGUAAAUCCGUACCUCAUAUAAGCCCGAGGCCGGAUGAUGACACCGUAUGGUGGAAAGUGGUGAUCCUAUGCUGCCAAGAAAAGCCUCGACGCGAGGGACUAGCCGCCCGUACCCUAAACCGACUCAGGUGGUCAGGUAGAGAAUACUAAGGCGAUCGAGAUAAUCAUGGUUAAGGAACUCGGCAAAAUGCCCCCGUAACUUCGGGAGAAGGGGGGCCCUAUGGGUGAUCACUCUUAACGGGUGUGAGCCUUGCGGGCCGCAGAGACCAGGGAGAAGCGACUGUUUACUAAAAACACAGGUCCGUGCGAAGUCGCAAGACGAUGUAUACGGACUGACGCCUGCCCGGUGCUGGAAGGUUAAGAGGACGGGUCAACCACUUGUGGUGAAGCUCAGAAUUUAAGCCCCAGUAAACGGCGGUGGUAACUAUAACCAUCCUAAGGUAGCGAAAUUCCUUGUCGGGUAAGUUCCGACCUGCACGAAUGGCGUAACGACUUCUCCACUGUCUCGACCAUGAACUCGGCGAAAUUGCAUUACGAGUAAAGAUGCUCGUUACGCGCAGCAGGACGGAAAGACCCCGGGACCUUUACUAUAGCUUGGUAUUGGUGUUGGGUACGGCUUGUGUAGGAUAGGUGGGAGACUGUGAAACAUGCACGCCAGUGUGUGUGGAGUCAUCGUUGAAAUACCACUCUGGUCGUUCCUAACGUCUAACCUCGGUCCGUGAUCCGGAUCAGGGACAUUGCCUGGUGGGUAGUUUAACUGGGGCGGUUGCCUCCUAAAGAGUAACGGAGGCGCUCAAAGGUUCCCUCAGCCUGGUUGGCAAUCAGGUGGCGAGUGCAAGUGCACAAGGGAGCUUGACUGCGAGACAGACAUGUCGAGCAGGGACGAAAGUCGGAACUAGUGACCCGGCGGUGGCUUGUGGAAGCGCCGUCGCUCAACGGAUAAAAGGUACCCCGGGGAUAACAGGCUGAUCUUGCCCAAGAGUCCAUAUCGACGGCAUGGUUUGGCACCUCGAUGUCGGCUCGUCGCAUCCUGGGGCUGGAGUUGGUCCCAAGGGUUGGGCUGUUCGCCCAUUAAAGCGGUACGCGAGCUGGGUUUAGAACGUCGUGAGACAGUUCGGUCCCUAUCCGCUGCGCGCGUUGGAAACUUGAGAAGGGCUGUCCCUAGUACGAGAGGACCGGGACGGACGAACCUCUGGUGUGCCAGUUGUUCCGCCAGGAGCAUGGCUGGUUGGCUACGUUCGGAAAGGAUAACCGCUGAAAGCAUCUAAGCGGGAAGCCUGCUUCAAGAUAAGGUUUCCACCACCCUCGAGGUGGGAAGGCCCCCUAUAGACCAUGGGGUUGAUAGGCCGGAUGUGGAAGCGGGGUAACUCGUGAAGCUGACCGGUACUAAUUGGCCGAUAACUUACACAA